UAACGGGGGGCGGGAGCGUUGUUCGGUGAAUUACUGGGCGUAAAGGGCUCGUAGGCGGCCAACUAAGUCGGACGUGAAAUCCCUCGGCUUAACCGGGGAACUGCGUCCGAUACUGGAUGGCUUGAGGUUGGGAGAGGGAUGCGGAAUUCCAGGUGUAGCGGUGAAAUGCGUAGAUAUCUGGAGGAACACCGGUGGCGAAGGCGGCAUCCUGGACCAAUUCUGACGCUGAGUGAGCGAAAGCCAGGGGAGCAAACGGG
rnacentral:rRNA from 1 species